AUUGAACGCUGGCGGCAGGCCUAACACAUGCAAGUCGAGCGGAUGAAGGGAGCUUGCUCCUGGAUUCAGCGGCGGACGGGUGAGUAAUGCCUAGGAAUCUGCCUGGUAGUGGGGGAUAACGUCCGGAAACGGGCGCUAAUACCGCAUACGUCCUGAGGGAGAAAGUGGGGGAUCCUCGGACCUCACGCUAUCAGAUGAGCCUAGGUCGGAUUAGCUAGUUGGUGGGGUAAAGGCCUACCAAGGCGACGAUCCGUAACUGGUCUGAGAGGAUGAGCAGUCACACUGGAACUGAGACACGGUCCAGACUCCUACGGGAGGCAGCAGUGGGGAAUAUUGGACAAGGGGCGAAAGCCUGAUCCAGCCAUGCCGCGUGUGUGAAGAAGGUCUUCGGAUUGUAAAGCACUUUAAGUUGGGAGGAAGGGCAGUAAGUUAAUACCUUGCUGUUUUGACGUUACCAACAGAAUAAGCACCGGCUAACUUCG
rnacentral:rRNA from 1 species